rnacentral:rRNA from 1 species
GUUAAUUAAAAUCAUAAAAAUAAAUUUAAAUAAAAACAAUAAAAUAAUAUACUAAUAAUAAAUACAAAAAUAAAAGUACUGAAAAGGAAUAAUAUACAAAUUAAAGUAAUGCUUAACACAUGUACCUUGUGCAUUAUGGCUUUACAAGCAAAUAAUUAAAUAUUAAAAUCCCGAAUUCUACGCGAGCUGCUACAUUAUAGCUAUAGAGCCCACUACUAGUUGUAGCACCAACUUUAGAAAAUAUUAUAGCAGAGGCUACAUACCAACCGCGCUAGAAAAUUGCUGGUUCUUGAUAAAAUUUAUAAAUUAAAGCAUAUAGUAUAACUAUAAUGUAAGAUUAUAGAAGAUAAGUCCUAUAAUCAUUAGCUAAAUUAAAAAUUAAUAAAUAAAAUAGGCCUAAAAACAGCCAUUAACAAUACUUUAUCGUAAAACAACAAAUAAAAUAAAUAAAAAAAAUGCAACACACAAUCAAGACAAGAUUAAAACAAACUAAAUCUUAUUUUUAUGUAAAGAUAAGUAUUAAGGAACAAUUAUUAUAAAAAUUAAAAUAAUUAUAAAAAUACCUAAAAUAAUAUCUGUAAAGGAACUCGGCAAAACUCAUUUCGACUGUUUAACAAAAACAUUGCUUUUUGAACAAAAUAAAAAGUAACUCCUG